UACGUAGGGGGCAAGCGUUGUCCGGAUUUAUUGGGCGUAAAGAGCGUGUAGGCGGCCUGAAAGGUCAGCUGUGAAAACUCGAGGCUCAACCUCGAGACGUCGGUUGAAACCAUCUGGCUAGAGUCCGGAAGAGGAGUGUGGAAUUCCCGGUGUAGCGGUGAAAUGCGCAGAUAUCGGGAGGAACACCGGUGGCGAAGGCGGGUCUCUGGGCCGAUAUUGACGCUGAGGAGCGAAAGCGUGGGGAGCAAACAGG
rnacentral:rRNA from 1 species